UGGACAUUCCAUCGUGAGGAGGGGCCCUGUGACUGCAGAUACUCAAUGCCUUCCAAGUGCGCUGGUGCCACCUUCAAGUGACACUUCUCAGAGUGUCACCCAGUGGCCCAGAGGCUCCCUAGUGUGUAGUCCACCCUCACUUAGACACGGCGGCCUGUACCUGACAUCCACACUCCCCACCUGCUGCCACCCACAGGAGCAUUUCAGGGCAUCACGAAUUGGUGGCUUUUCUUUCCAGUUCAACAGGCAUCUCCCAAGUCACCUGUGAUGAUUGCUUUUAUAUGUCCACGUGGCCACACUCAUCUAGACAUUGCUCUGAAGGUAUUGUGGUUGUGGUUAAUCUCUAUCAUCAGUUGACCUUAGGUGGAGGAGGUGACCUUUGAUGAUGUGAGUGAGCCCUGUCUAAGCAGGUGAAGGCAUUGAGAGCAAAACCUGAGGUUUCCCAGAAAAGGAGAAAUUUUGCCUCAAGGCUGCAGCUUCAGCUCCUGAUUUCAGACCUGCUGGCCCCACAAUCACUUGAGCCGAUUUAAAAAAUCUAUCCAUCAAUCAAUGUAUCCAUCCACCCAUCAACUCACCUAUUCAUACAUGUACUCAUCCUUGCAUCCAUUCAUCCCUCCCUCCUUCUUUCCCUCCUUCGUUCAUUCUUCUCCUCCCCCCCUCCCUCCCUCCCUCCCUCCCUUCUCUUCUUUCCUCCUUCUUCCCCCAAUCCCUUCCCUCCUUCCCUCCCUUCUCCCCAUCCCCAUCCACGGAUCCAUCCUAUGGACCCCAUCCUAUGUGUCCCUGAAGACCCCCGAGUGGCAUAGCAUUCGUUUGCAUGUGUGUGGCAUUGGCAGGGAAGUCUGGGCAGGGGGUGGUCAGUGCAAUGACUUGGGCCUGAAAGAAUGAGGUUUUGGUGGUGAGCUCUUCCCCUGUGGAGCUGAAUGUGCAGCCGUGUGUUUUGUUCACGGCUUCCUGCGUCUGCCCUCUAGAGGCCCACAGAAGCCUCGCACCUCCCUGGCCCGGCGUCUGCGGGUGAAUUGUCUGAGCAGGAGCACAGCGGUUUAAGCUUCAUGUUCUCCGGGCCCAGGUGAAAUACUCUCACCCCCUCUGAUGGCCACUUUCCAAUCCUGUUAUCCGCCCCCAGUCUUGUGAUUUGUCCCACAGCAAACACUCCUUCCAGGUGUGAGUUGUGCCAAGGAACACUGUUUCGUUGUCACACAUAGUACUUAGACUCAGUGAGUGAAGAGACACUUGGUCCCGGGCCCCCUUCUCUGCACACACUGCCCUGUGUGCUACAGCAUGCCAGGCAGGGUGCCAGGACCGCAGGCCCGUGAAGACCAUGGCGGCGGCUGUCUGAAGACCAGCUCACAGCAGGAGCUGCGCUGAGAUCUUCUCCUGGGUGCUCAUGCUGGGGCCCGAGGUCGUAUGGAAAAGGCUUGUCCCCCUUGCUGGAUGUCACAAGGCUCGGCCACGUGGAUAGAAGCUGCUUGGA
rnacentral:lncRNA from 1 species